UUUAACUGCCUCGUCACCAUCUAUCAUCAUCCUCCAACACUCUCCCACCCUCAGCACCCUGCUGGUGCCAGUACUAUGUUAAACAGAAGAGGAAGGAUAAAGAUCAACAAGCCACAGAUGUGACCUGAGAUGGUGGGAGUUGAGGCAUAAGAGGAGAGGACUGGUGUUGCAGUGGGUACAAUUUUGCUUAAAGGAUAGAAGAGAGACCAGAUGACCUGCAAAACACCAUGUUCUGCUCAGGACUCUACUGUCCAUAUCACUCAAGGCCAACUGAGAACAGUGAAGAGGGACCAUCUAGCUUAUUGACCAAAGUUGUACUGCUGACAUCUGUUUUCAAGAUAAAAAGGAGCUCUCUUUUGUUCCCUCAAACAACUGAAUAUUCUAAGUCUCUUCCCUACACACAUCUCAAUCUACUGUGUUGUUCCUAAGACUAUCUCCAAAAAACCACCUGGGUACAACUCUCCAGCUCAAGAUCUGUUUCCUGGGGAGGUUAAUUCUGAGAGUGUUCCUAAAAAGGAGACUGAUGAUUUUGAAGAUGGGUCACCUACCAGCUGGCUGGGAAUAAAGACCCUGUCACUAGUGGCAGAUUAUAGAUAGCCCCUGGCCUACUGUAGUGGUGCAAUUGUUGAACUCUCAUAAGUGGUAACUGGUAUCGGAAUAGGUAGGUGAAAUAUCUCAGAUGUCUCAUUCCAUCAAUGCAUUUAAAGGGUAACAGA